rnacentral:rRNA from 1 species
UACGAAGGGGGCUAGCGUUGCUCGGAAUCACUGGGCGUAAAGCGCACGUAGGCGGAUCUUUAAGUCAGGGGUGAAAUCCUGGAGCUCAACUCCAGAACUGCCUUUGAUACUGGGGAUCUCGAGUCCGGAAGAGGUGAGUGGAACUCCGAGUGUAGAGGUGAAAUUCGUAGAUAUUCGGAAGAACACCAGUGGCGAAGGCGGCUCACUGGUCCGGUAUUGACGCUGAAGAGCGAAAGCGUGGGGAGCAAACAGG